rnacentral:rRNA from 1 species
UGAGGAAUAUUGGUCAAUGGACGCAAGUCUGAACCAGCCAAGUAGCGUGCAGGAUGACGGCCCUAUGGGUUGUAAACUGCUUUUAUAUGGGGAUAAAGUGGGGAACGUGUUCCCUUUUGCAGGUACCAUAUGAAUAAGGACCGGCUAAUUCCGUGCCAGCAGCCGCGGUAAUACGGAAGGUUCGGGCGUUAUCCGGAUUUAUUGGGUUUAAAGGGAGCGUAGGCCGUUUGGUAAGCGUGUUGUGAAAUGUAGGAGCUCAACUUCUAGAUUGCAGCGCGAACUGUCAGACUUGAGUGCGCACAACGUAGGCGGAAUUCAUGGUGUAGCUGUGAAAUGCUUAGAUAUCAUGAAGAACUCCGAUUGCGAAGGCAGCUUACGGGAGCGCAACUGACGCUGAAGCUCGAAGGUGCGGGUAUCGAACAGG